rnacentral:rRNA from 1 species
UUUUCGGAGAGUUUGAUCCUGGCUCAGGACGAACGCUGGCGGCGUGCCUAAUACAUGCAAGUCGAGCGGACAGAAGGGAGCUUGCUCCCGGAUGUUAGCGGCGGACGGGUGAGUAACACGUGGGUAACCUGCCUGUAAGACUGGGAUAACUCCGGGAAACCGGAGCUAAUACCGGAUAGUUCCUUGAACCGCAUGGUUCAAGGAUGAAAGACGGUUUCGGCUGUCACUUACAGAUGGACCCG